CGCAUCUGUGCAUGCAGCAUAUCAAUAAGCGGAGGAAAAGAAACUAACAAGGAUUCCCCUAGUAACGGCGAGUGAAGCGGGAAGAGCUCAAAUUUGAAAUCUUAAAGGGUUUCCCUUUACGGAUUGUAGUUUAAAGAAGUGUUUUCUGUUGAGGUUUUGGUAAAAGUUCCUUGGAAUAGGACAUCAUAGAGGGUGAGAAUCCCGUAUUUGACCUUUACUUUCAACUUUGUGAUACACUUUCAAAGAGUCGGAUUGUUUGGGAAUGCAGUCCGAAAUGGGUGGUAAAUUUCAUCUAACGCUAAAUAUUGGCGAGAGACCGAUAGCGAACAAGUACCGUGAGGGAAAGAUGAAAAGAACUUUGAAAAGAGAGUUAAACAGUACGUGAAGUUGUCAAAAGGGAAGCGUUUGACACCAGUGUUGUUUUUCUGAAAAUCAAUUAAAGAACUGUUUAUGCUAAGUUGUUUAGACUUUAUCCGCUAACUGUUUAGUUUUGAGCUUUUCUUUAAUGCACUUUUCAGUUAACAAGUCAACAUCAAUUUCUUUUGCUGUAAAAAAGCUUGAGGAAGGUGGCUUGAGAUUCGUCUUAAGUGUUUAUAGCCUCUUGCCUAUGCAGUCGGAGAGAUUGAGGUCUGCAGCGUAGAUCCUUCGGGGCUAAAUGCAUUUGUGCUAAGUUAUAGCAUUUUAUAGACAACUUGUUGACUAUGAUUUGUCUUGUAGCUUACUCGCUUAUGUUAUUUUACCUACGCUUAGGAUGUUGAACGCGCACAGAGUCUC
rnacentral:rRNA from 1 species